UACGGGGGGGGCAAGCGUUGUUCGGAAUUACUGGGCGUAAAGGGCUCGUAGGUGGCCAACUAAGUCAGACGUGAAAUCCCUCAGCUUAACUGGGGAACUGCGUCUGAUACUGGAUGGCUUGAGUGUGGGAGAGGGAUGCGGAAUUCCAGGUGUAGCGGUGAAAUGCGUAGAUAUCUGGAGGAGCACCGGUGGCGAAGGCGGCAUCCUGGACCAACACUGACACUGAGGAGCGAAAGCCAGGGGAGCAAACGGG
rnacentral:rRNA from 1 species